rnacentral:rRNA from 1 species
AGCAAUAUUUUCAAGAAACAACUUUUUAAAUUCUAAUUUAAUAGAAGUCAAGUUAUGGUCUGAGAGAUAACUUAAAAAUGGUAAGUUAUUUAGGAACAAGAUAAAAGGCAAAACACCAAACUUCAUACAAACUUAAAUGUUUGACAUUUAAAAAUUAAAGAGAUUUUUUUUAACGUGUAUUUGAGACAAAUAAGCCAACCUUGGUACAUAACCGCUGAAAACUAAAAAACCGUACCCUAAACCAACACAGGUGGAUAGGUCGAGUAGACUAAGGUGUAUGAGAUAAUUAUGUUGAAGGAACUCGGCAAAAUGACUCUGUAACUUCGGGAGAAAGAGUACCUUUUUAUUUAAGUGUUUAUCGACGAAAUAAUAAGAAGGUG